CCUCUGGGAGGCGCCACGGAACCUCCCCUCACGGCCGCGGCCGCGGGCCCGCGCUUCUCGCGAGAGCUUCCCCUGGGACUGCGAUGGCGGAGCGGACCUUGGAGGACAGACUGGGCCAGCAGUCACCCUUCAGACCAACAGAUGUUGAACUGAUGCCCAAGCUGCUGAGGAAUAUAAAGUGCCUUGGGCUGGAGGGAAUAAAUGUGCAGCUGCCACAGAAAAAGGGAAAAUUGAGGCCUGCAAGCAAAAUGGCGUGUUUCUGAGGAAACCGUAACGGCCAAAGAAGAAACUAUCUUGGAAGAGGUCACCUUAUUUGCCUGAAAGUCUCAUCCUGACACUAAUUUCUGGAAAUAGAUCGGCUCAGAGGAAAUAAUCGUCAGGCUUCCCCAGAGGAAAAGGGACGGCACUGAGCAAUCCCUGAGCAAUCCCUAGGCGUCACCUGAACCCUUGAAAUCAGUAAAGCCAAACUACUGUGAAAAGCAGUGAUUUAGAUUUCCCUACAGAACCUUUUUGUCAGUACCAUAAGGUGUGGUAUAUCAAAGCCGAAGAUACUCUCGGAUGAAGACAGUUUGUGCUGUAAAUUAACAACAACAAAAGUUUUAUAAGAAGAACAACAAACAAAAUGGAUCAAGAAUGAGGGAACUGAGAUUAAAGAGCUUCCCAAAGUACCAGGCAUGGGUGGAUUGACUGACACCCUGAUGACUGUCAGUAAGUCAGGACGCCAGGGCUCAGGACAGCUGGAAGAGGACCAAGUACUUCUGACCGAGUCUGUGUAUUCAAGAGGUGUCCCUCAGGAGAUGACUCAAACCAGAGCCUCAAAGAAGAUCCACAGUGUUCAUCAAGUGAAAGUCUGCUUGGCUGAGUUACUCAAGAGGUGAAGUGACACCACUGCUAAAAAUCACCUUUAUUUCAAGUCAUUCUGUAGACUGUGAGCUUGGGUGAAACCCAUUUGGGAGCCCUAUCACCAAGACCGUGUAGGUAAAACCUCAAAAUAGCUGAAAUGUAAGGGGCUGAUAGCUACCUGGUCCUGCUCAGUUUGGGAGCAGGCAUGACUUCAUGGCAGAGAAAUGACUUGACUCAGUCCCAGUAUUCCAAGAGGACACCCUGCCUCCUUUGCAGAACCGCUGUGCGUGCAUCAAGAAGAUAUACCCUAGCCACGUCUGUGUUAUGCUUACUCUGGGGAUAUACAGCCAGUAACCCACUAGUAUGUUUCUAUUCUUUUAGCAAUUAUUAGCGAGUACAGAUGGGAGAGCCCGGUUCUUACAGCAGCGAGUCAGCUCAGAUGUAGGUGGGUGUCUAGCACAUCCCUCAAAGUGACUCUUGGCAGAAAUGAAAGCUGAGAGUGCAGAAAACCGUCAGUUACAAAGUGCUGGGCCCCCGAGGGCACCAACUGUCCCUGCCCAGCCCCACCAGGCUCCCCCCACCCUCACAUGGCCCAGGACCCCAUUUCAGCCCAGUCCAGGGCCAUCAGUCAGGAAGGUCCCGAUCAGAGUUACAUUGCUUGAGGUAAUUUGCCUUCAUCAGAACUCAGAGAGAGGCAGCUGUGGCAACAAUUUCAAAUAUUUAAAAUAUUUGAAAAAUUAGUAACAUUUUCUGCCUGUUUUACCAGAAGUCUUGCAGUGUUUUCAGGGGGUGUUUUCCAACAGCAGAUUGAAGGGGAAAUCACAAAAAAAUCCCCAAACAGUAAAACCACAAAGUAUGGCAAUUUGUCAAAACAAGAUGUAAAAUAGGGGCUUCCUUCCAUUUCACCCCAGUACAAAAACAAAUGUGAACAGCUCUCUAUAGCUCCUGCCUGGGCAGCUGCUUCAGCCUCAGCUGGUCAAUGCUCAUCCCUGGAGGUUGGGUGACUGGACCAUACAGCAAGAAGAUAAACAAAAAAAGGCCACAGAUAAGAGGACCGAGGAAGGAGGGAAGGACAAAAGAAAAACCAACCAACAACAACAAAAAAAAACAUACAGCAAAGGAAACUAAAAUAAAGCUUCCUGUAAGCAGAGCAGACCUAUAGGGCGUUCAGACCUUGGCUGAUGAACCUCAUGGCCUGAUUUGACCCAUUCAGUCCUGCAAUCUCUUCUCCGUAGAACCAAGACCAGCAGCUAAUGAAUGAUGUGGGAAGGCUGCCUGGACAGAGGAUGAUUCCAGGAGGUGCAGAGAUCAUAAAAAACAUUACUGUAGUUGGCCUGAAGGCAAUAGGCAGAUGGGGCAGGAAUUUCUUCUGGGAGGAGAACAUGAGGAGUAUUGCAGAAACUGUGCUGAGAUCAGCUUGAAGUUUUCAGGAUGCAUUUAAAUAACUUUCUGUUUGAGCUGCGUGGUUGAAAUGAAUUUGCAUGGCAGCUCUGCAAUUGCAUGUAACAUUUUUUUUGUUGUUCAGCUAGAAUAUUAGUUCUCUCUCAUUUGUAAAUUAACUGUAAUGACCUUUUACUGUGUGGUUUUCUUCUGUUCACCCAUUUGUUUAAUGAGUGGCAUUUGUGGGUUUUCUUUUCAUUGUUAUAAUAGAUCCUGUAAGAGUGAAGCUACUGCGAAAGCAGAAGAGCGGAUGACUUCUGCGCUAAAGCUUUAGUAAAUUUUGUGAGACAAUUUUCACUGUCAUAUAAAACCUAAAAUUGCAUUAAAUUGUCUACAUAGCUAAAGCAGCAAAAAGCCUAAACAAUUAAUGCUUGUUAACUGCCCAGAGUAAAUUUAAGCAGUCCCCCCUUCACAGAAAACCUGUGUAAGCAUUUUGUCCUGAUCACUUUUUUUCUGCCAGGGCACUGAUACCAAACACAUCCUUUACUUCUCACUCCCACCUAAGCUCGGUCCCGACAAUGAGAAGUGCAGGUAGCAGACGCCUGUCGUGGGACUGCAGGACAGCAGAACCCUGUCCCUGUUCUGCAGCUUUGAGAAGCAAAUCUCUCUUACCUGACAACCACAAACUCGAUAGAGUGAGUAGGAGUAAAAUAUCCACGAUAGCUGAUGUGCAUGUCAAUGCAGUUGUCUCUGGUAGUUACAGGGCUUCUCAGAAAUGCAUCAGUCUGCACAUGUGGGCAUGCGUCGGGGUCCUACCAGGAAACCUUCUGUUGUCCUCACAGGCAAAUAACACAGCUUAUUGCUUCCAGUUUUUAGUAUAAUAAACUAUAUGUAGUUAAUUUUAAACCUUAACCAUUAAGAUUUCCUUUUAAAACUAUUGAUAUCUAGCAGCUUAUGAUCAGCUUGGGCUCAGCUUCGGUGGGACAUGUCUGUACUCAUAAAGACCUCUGUUUAGGAGCCACAAAAUGAAAUGGUGCCACUGGAAACUUAAGCAGGGUUGUCCUGCAGAGCCUGAGGAAGUGUGGUUAGCUAGUGUGCAAGUUCGUUGCUGAUAAAGGCUACAGUCAAACCAAAACAGUUUUCAUAGAGUGUUUUAAGCAUAUGGAUGCAUCACUAAAUCAAUGGUGUGCUGCAGCUACCUAGUUAUGCUCUGAUCCCUUUGGCCAGGUUUUGUAAGGCUUGUAGUCAAGGCCCAAAGCAAGACGCUACCGCCAAUUUUUAAAUCUGUGGCACUCAUUAGACAGCUGAAAAAAGAAAUUAUGGACUGCUGACUACCAUUCAAGUUGGGAAACUCCAAUUAACAGCAUAACAAACCCAGGGAAGACUUCCUCAUUAAUAACCAGUAAUGACAGCCAGGGAUCUAAACUGGUUCCCAGAGGUUCCAGGAAUCCAGGAGUUUCCCAGAAUUGCUACCUUUUUGCCCGCUAACAUUUUCCUCAUCAAAGUUAGGUCAUCUGAAACAGGCAUCUACAAGCGUGAAUUUCAAGCGACUUGUUGUACAUUCUGGCAUUUGUCUUUCUCCCAUACAGGCACAGCAAUGGCUCCUGGAAAUCAUUUGCAUCAGAAAUUCGGAACUGACAAAAUGAUCUUUAGAAAACUUGAUGAGACAGAUUUAUAAAGUAGGUGCAGCAAUUGAGCCCUCAGCAUUUUCAUUUGCACGUGCCAGUAUGGAUUUGUGGAUAAGACUGAAAUGAACAAAAAGGCUGAUAGCUCUCGGUCCAAAAAUUAUAUUCUGUGCAUGAAAGUGUUGCCUUAAGAAGGCACAGGAGAGCUGUAUUUUGUUACAGUGGCUGUUGGAGGGGGUUUUUUUGGGAAAAAAAUAAUCCCCAGUUAAAAAUAGGCCUCAAAUUUCCAGUUCAUUUCUUCGCUUGACUGAAAUAUAAAAGAUUUAGUUCCCUAAUUAUACCGACACAAUGGCUUAACUUGUUGAGUUGCAGAAGCUUGCUGUUAUUCUUAAUCAGCAUCUCUAACUCAGCAAUAGUCAGUCUGUGACAAUGGGAGAAAACAGAAAAAGAUUCACGGUUUCUGCCAUUAAAAACAAUUAUUUCCCACGCAUUUUAGCGUUGAGGCACUUCUUGUACUCGAAGCUGUGAGACCCCAAACACAUUACCAUCGGAAUAAUUUUCUUCGGCAGCUACUGUAAAUUGCCAGGCAGCAGGAGGCUCGACGGAGGUGCUGGCUAUUUGUGUAGCGUGAGCCCGUUUCUGGGUUGAGAUGACUGUCUCACUGCUAAUGGGAUAACAGAGCACGCUCUGCAGGGGAAAGGCUUAAAGACUUGAGAUUAGAGUCAUCCUUGGCGUAACUUAGAAAUACUCAAGUCACAUUAGCGUUGAGUUGGAUCGCAGAAUAGAGGUUUUCUUCUUUUAUUGUUACUGAUGUGUCUGAAUUUCCACUGUUAUAAAUAACGAUAUAUUUUUCUUUCUGAACUUCCUCUUGAGCAUCAACUUGUUUUGCUCUGCCUUCUACCUCCUGCAUUUUCUUGUUGCAUUUCCUAGUAGCAUUUUCUAUCACCUUCAAUGCGGGCAUUAUCUUCUUUUCUUAGAGGAAGUUAGAGGCAUAAAAGGGAGCAUCACAAGAUCACUGAUGACAUAAAAGGGACCAUGACUUAAAUUUUUUUAAAACCCUGCUUUCAAUUUUUUUUUUAAUUUCCGCCAUUUCAGUACCCAGGUCUCACAUUCUUGGAAAAGUCGCAUCUUGGAAAACCAGAGAAGCCAGCUGAGACCACAGGCAACCCCCACUCUGACACUUAACAGUGUAGUAUAUUAGCAAUAGGUUCGUCUUUAAAAAUCAGAAGCAGAAAUGAAGCGUAGCUCUUCUUUCAGGUGCAGAAGAGCUCCCCUAGCUGGGUACCUGUCUGGCUGCUGCAGCCAGUUCAGGGAUGCCAGACUGUGCUAUCAAGCAUCCCUUAGCCCAAAAGCAGGCUGCAGUGCUGGUUUUCACUUCAUCUGAACACCUCCCCAGCUCACGCUCUGCGCCCAACUGUUACGUCAGGCAGUGGAGAGCAACAGCACACCUAACUUUACAGUUAACUUUACCAGUUCUCAGUGAGAAGUGGAGAAAUUUGGGAGAGAGGAGCAAGGAAUAUGCCUCCUCCCUUCCAAUUCCACAUGGUCCGCAAUCUCAGCUGCCAGCUCCCCUCAGUCUGGAGGGGCACUGAGGGGUCUCGUACCUUGCUGCUGCCUCCGCUCUUUUGCAGAGAGCCAUUGGGUGGUAUGGUUUGCAUGUGACUGAUUGAUUAUAUUAACCAAAACCUGAAGCUCUACACCUGCCUUCUCUCAAAUCAGCCCACAAACUCAAGGUUUGAACUAGCAGAAGGAGUACACAGACCAAGACAGUUGUGAACCCCAGGUUUCCUGUCCCAUUUCCUGGUCUUUCUUGCAGGUACUGAAGAGUGACCUCAGAGACGUGCAGAGAGCAGAAUUACAACCUUCUGCACAUGGCUUUGCAUCUGAAGUCCCUUCCACCCAGCUGCUCACCAGCCGCUGGGUUAGAAGUCUCCUCUCCUUUUGUCCAACUUUCCACUUUAUUCAUAUCCUGUAAAUUUCCACUGAGUCGCUCAAAACUUCUGUGUUAUUUCUGACCUUUUGCAGGCUCUCAAUCUCUGUUCCGCUUUGGGGGAAACCCCACUGUGAAAAAUCCCUUCAGCGCUGGCCGCCUUGCCUGGACCGGCUUCUCCAUCCCGCUAUUCUCAACAUGUCCCUUCUGAAAUGUGAGCUACUAAGACUGGUCUCAUAUGUGAAACAUGUGGUGUUGCACAUGUUGAAACAUCUGAUGACAAAGCAACUUCAAAAAUAAAAAUAUUGUCCUAGUCUGUCGGCUUCUUGAAGCUUUUUAAGCUGCCAUUAACCAUUGACUUCCUUUUGGCCGAAGCCCGUCAGUGGCAAUACAUACAAGCACAGCACUCAUUAACAACCAGGAUGUUUGAGGGUGGUGCUCCCUGUGCAAAGCAUAUUUAAUUUUAUCAGCUAUUUGAGCUAUUUUUAAUCACAAAGUGCUCUUUGAGAACGACAAGAGCAUGCAAGUGCUGAAAGAUGGUUACAUAUAGAGGCAACUAAUUCUGUUUUGAAAAUUCUGCUGAGGAGAUAAAAAUUAUUCUGAGGCUGAAAUGUGGCAUUCCAGCGUUUGCUGUCUCUCCUGUC